UCUCUUUACACAAAAAUGGCUAUAUGCAGGCCAUGUUUCUCUAUAAAUCCUCCAUAAAAAAUUCAUCUAUAUUUUCAUGUAUCUUCUUCACCAGAGAACAAAAAUCCCUACAUCUCUUCAUCUCACCUUUUUUUUUUCUCUCUAAUAUCUAGUAUGGAAUUAAAACCUUUCUCCCUCAAUCCUUGAUGGAUUGCAACCACACCCAAGCAAUUUCUUUCCCCUCUCAGUUACAUUUUUCAUAUUAUUUUCAAAGCUAUGAAUUUGAUUUAUGGUGGAAGAUGCUAAAUAUAUGUUAUAGACAUUUUUGUGUUGAUGGAAGUAGAGGAGUGGAAGUAGACAUUUUUGUUGCAUCUAAGUUGAUAGGAGUUUGGUACUCUCUAAACUGAAAGAUUUAUAAUCUCUGCUGCCCACAUCUUUAUUUAUCACAACUCAAAGGAACAAAUUUUUCUCAUGUUAGUCGGUAGUUGUGUAUAAAACACGAGUAAAGAAGAAGUUUUUGAAGAUACAGGGGUGUUUACAACUGAGAUAGAUGCAGAACAAGGGAUGUGGAACCAAACAUUCUCAUCAAGCAAUCUAAACCAAACAAUAACAAUAUAUAUUUUGUAUUUUGCUGUCUUUGUCUUUUUAGCUGGAAAAAAUUUUGUUCUGAAAAAAAAAGUGUAAUGCUAUUUUGUAGGGAUAAUUAUUAACAAAAAUAUUUUAUGGAAAGCAAUCAAAGCGCAUGCAACUACUAGCAUCAAAUAUCUUAUGGAGACCAAAAUUUUAAUUUUUUUUUUUCAUAAAAUAUUUGUUGUCUUUCCAGCUAAAAAGUUUUAUUAUAUUUAUUCCCAUUCAAUUUAAUAAAGCAACAAGUUGACAUUGUUCCUUUUGUUCUCAGGAGAAGAAUUUUUGAAGAUACAGGGUGUUUACAACAGAGAUAAAUGCAGAAUAAGGGAUGUGGAACCAAACAUUCUCAUCAAGAAGCUUGCAACCUAAACCAAACAAUAACAAUAUAUUUUGUAUUUUGUUGUCUUUGUAGUUAAGUAAAAAAACGUAUUUGUAGGGAUAAUUAUUCCUAAUUUUACUAAACAUUCCUAUUUUUACUCUCUCUUGUUUAAUCCAUUUGUUUUCCUUCUCUCUCUAACUAAGCAAAAAAAAAAAAGAAGUGCAUUCAAAGCUAUUUUGUAGGAAAUUAUUCCUAAUUUUACUC